UACGUAGGGUGCAAGCGUUGUCCGGAAUUAUUGGGCGUAAAGAGCUCGUAGGCGGUCUGUCGCGUCUGCUGUGAAAACCUAGGGCUUAACUCUGGGCGUGCAGUGGGUACGGGGCAGGCUAGAGUGCGGUAGGGGAGACUGGAAUUCCUGGUGUAGCGGUGAAAUGCGCAGAUAUCAGGAGGAACACCGGUGGCGAAGGCGGGUCUCUGGGCCGUAACUGGACGCUGAGGAGCGAAAGCAUGGGGAGCGAACAGG
rnacentral:rRNA from 1 species